rnacentral:rRNA from 1 species
AUUGAACGCUGGCGGCAUGCUUUACACAUGCAAGUCGAACGGCAGCGCGGGCUUCGGCCUGGCGGCGAGUGGCGAACGGGUGAGUAAUGCAUCGGAACGUGCCCAGUAGUGGGGGAUAGCCCGGCGAAAGCCGGAUUAAUACCGCAUACGACCUGAGGGUGAAAGCGGGGGACCGAAAGGCCUCGCGCUAUUGGAGCGGCCGAUGUCAGAUUAGCGAGUUGGUGGGGUAAAGGCUUACCAAGGCGACGAUCCGUAGCUGGUCUGAGAGGACGACCAGCCACAAUGGGACUGAGACACGGCCCAGACGCCUACGGGAGGCAGCAGUGGGGAAUGUUGGACAAUGGGGGCAACCCUGAUCCAGCCAUGCAGCGUGCGGGAAGAAGGCCUUCGGGUUGUAAACCGCUUUUGUUCGGGAAGAAAUCCUCUGGGCUAAUACCCCGGGGGGAUGAAGGUACCGGAAGAAUAAGCACCGGCUAACUACGUG